rnacentral:rRNA from 1 species
UACGAAGGGGGCUAGCGUUGCUCGGAAUCACUGGGCGUAAAGGGUGCGUAGGCGGGUCUUUAAGUCAGGGGUGAAAUCCUGGAGCUCAACUCCAGAACUGCCUUUGAUACUGAAGAUCUUGAGUUCGGGAGAGGUGAGUGGAACUGCGAGUGUAGAGGUGAAAUUCGUAGAUAUUCGCAAGAACACCAGUGGCGAAGGCGGCUCACUGGCCCGAUACUGACGCUGAGAAGCGAAAGCAUGGGGAGCGAACAGG